AACGAACGCUGGCGGCAUGCCUAACACAUGCAAGUCGAACGAGACCUUCGGGUCUAGUGGCGCACGGGUGCGUAACGCGUGGGAACCUGCCCUUAGGUUCGGAAUAACUCCCCGAAAGGGGUGCUAAUACCGGAUAAUGUCUUCGGACCAAAGAUUUAUCGCCUUUGGAUGGGCCCGCGUUGGAUUAGCUAGUUGGUAGGGUAAAAGCCUACCAAGGCGACGAUCCAUAGCUGGUCUGAGAGGAUGAUCAGCCACACUGGGACUGAGACACGGCCCAGACUCCUGCGGGAGGCAGCAGUGGGGAAUAUUGGACAAUGGGCGAAAGCCUGAUCCAGCAAGGCCGCGUGAGUGAUGAAGGCCUUAGGGUUGUAAAGCUCUUUUACCCGGGAUGAUAAUGACAGUACCGGGAGAAUAAGCUCCGGCUAACUCCGU
rnacentral:rRNA from 1 species